CUACGGGAGGCUCUAGUAAGGAAUAUUGCGCAAUGGAGGCAACUCUGACGCAGCCAUGCCGCGUGCAGGAAGAAGGCCUUAUGGGUCGUAAACUGCUUUUAUUUAGGAAUAAACCCCCGAACGUGUUCGGGGCUGAAGGUACUAAACGAAUAAGCACCGGCUAACUCCGUGCCAGCAGCCGCGGUAAUACGGAGGGUGCAAGCGUUAUCCGGAUUUAUUGGGUUUAAAGGGUGCGCAGGCGGGCUAUUAAGUCAGUGGUGAAAUCCCGGGGCUCAACUCCGGAACUGCCAUUGAUACUGAUAGUCUUGAGUUUGGUUGAAGUGGGCGGAAUGUAGCAUGUAGCGGUGAAAUGCAUAGAUAUGCUACAGAACACCAAUCGCGAAGGCAGCUCACUAAGCCAAAACUGACGCUCAUGCACGAAAGCGUGGGGAGCAAACAGGAUUAGAUACCCCAGUAGUC
rnacentral:rRNA from 1 species